UACGUAGGUGGCGUGCGUUGUCCGGAUUUACUGGGCGUAAAGGGAGCGUAGGCGGACUUUUAAGUGAGAUGUGAAAUACUCGGGCUCAACUUGAGUGCUGCAUUUCAAACUGGAAGUCUAGAGUGUAGGAGAGGAGAAUGGAAUUCCUAGUGUAGCGGUGAAAUGCGUAGAGAUUAGGAAGAACACCAGUGGCGAAGGCGAUUCCCUGGACUGUAACUGACGCUGAGGCUCGAAAGCGUGGGGAGCAAACAGG
rnacentral:rRNA from 1 species